GGCCGGGCGCGGUGGCUCACGCCUGUAAUCCCAGCACUUUGGGAGGCAGAGGCGGGCGGAUCAUGAGGUCAGGAGAUCGAGACCAUCCUGGCUAACACAGUGAAACCCCGCCUCUACUAAAAAUACAAAAAAUUAGCCGGGCGUGGUGGCGGGCGCCUGUAGUCCCAGCUACUCGGGAGGCUGAGGCAGGAGAAUGGCGU
rnacentral:lncRNA from 1 species